AGCGAACGCUGGCGGCAGGCUUAACACAUGCAAGUCGAGCGGGCAUACUCGGAUGUCAGCGGCAGACGGGUGAGUAACACGUGGGAACGUACCCUUCGGUUCGGUACAUCUCUGGGUAACAGGAGCUAAUACCGGAUACGCUCAUAUGGGGUAAGGUUUACUGCCGUAGGAUUGGAUCGUGGCGGGUUAGUUUGUUGGUGGGGUUACGGCCCACCAAGGCGCCGAUGAGUAGCUGGGCUGAGAGGAUGGGCAGCCACACUGGUACUAAGACACGGCCGGGACUCCUACGGGAUGGAGGAGUGGCUAAUAUAGGACAACGGGGGCAGUGCUGAAGCUGCCAGGCCGCGUGAGUGAUGAAGGCAUUAGGGAUGUAAAGCUCAAUUGUCCGGGACGGUAAUGACGGUACCGGAAGAAUAAGCCCCGGCUAACUUCGUG
rnacentral:rRNA from 1 species